GGGGGAUAUUGCGCAAUGGGGGCAACCCUGACGCAGCAACGCCGCGUGAAGGAUGAAGGUUUUCGGAUUGUAAACUUCUUUUAUUAAGGACGAAACUUGACGGUACUUAAUGAAUAAGCUCCGGCUAACUACGUGCCAGCAGCCGCGGUAAUACGUAGGGAGCAAGCGUUGUCCGGAUUUACUGGGUGUAAAGGGUGCGUAGGCGGCUUUGCAAGUCAGAUGUGAAAUCUAUGGGCUCAACCCAUAAACUGCAUUUGAAACUGUAGAGCUUGAGUGAAGUAGAGGCAGGCGGAAUUCCCCGUGUAGCGGUGAAAUGCGUAGAGAUGGGGAGGAACACCAGUGGCGAAGGCGGCCUGCUGGGCUUUAACUGACGCUGAGGCACGAAAGCGUGGGUAGCAAACAGGAUUAGAUACCCUGGUAGUCCACGCUGUAAACGAUGAUUACUAGGUGUGGGGGGUCUGACCCCUUCCGUGCCGGAGUUAACACAAUAAGUAAUCCACCUGGGGAGUACGGCCGCAAGGUUGAAACUCAAAGGAAUUGACGGGGGCCCGCACAAGCAGUGGAGUAUGUGGUUUAAUUCGAAGCAACGCGAAGAACCUUACCAGGUCUUGACAUCCAACUAACGAAGUAGAGAUACAUUAGGUGCCCUUCGGGGAAAGUUGAGACAGGUGGUGCAUGGUUGUCGUCAGCUCGUGUCGUGAGAUGUUGGGUUAAGUCCCGCAACGAGCGCAACCCUUGCUAUUAGUUGCUACGCAAGAGCACUCUAAUAGGACUGCCGUUGACAAAACGGAGGAAGGUGGGGACGACGUCAAAUCAUCAUGCCCCUUAUGACCUGGGCUACACACGUACUACAAUGGAUGUUAACAGAGGGAAGCAAGACAGCGAUGUGGAGCAAACCCCUAAAAACAUUCUCAGUUCAGAUUGCAGGCUGCAACCCGCCUGCAUGAAGAUGGAAUUGCUAGUAAUCGCGGAUCAGCAUGCCGUGGUGAAUACGUUCCCG
rnacentral:rRNA from 1 species